rnacentral:lncRNA from 1 species
UGUUGCAUUUGUUAAAUCAUAUUCAUUUUCCUUUCAGCUUAGUUUGGAAGUUAGAAUAAGUUAUUUAAGGACAAUUUAUUCGGUACAAGAGCUUUCUAGUGUGAGUACAAGAUAUAAGUUUGAUUUUUUUCUUUUUAAAAGCUUUUGAAUUCAUAAUUUGUUAGGAUAACAAAUCUCAUCAACCAGAUAAUUUAUUUAUUUUUAUCUACCGAAUAUAUAAAUUAUUUUUUAAUAAAUUGUGAAAAUAUAUCGAACAAAAUAUUUAUCAACCGA